ensembl:snRNA U6 U6 spliceosomal RNA
GUGCUUACUUAGGCAGCGCAUAUACUAAAAUUUGAACAGUAAAGAGAAGAUUAACAUGGCCCCUGCACAAGGAUGGCAUGCAAAUUCAUGAAGCAUUUCAUAUUUUU